rnacentral:rRNA from 1 species
GACGAACGUUGGCGGCGUGCUUAACACAUGCAAGUCGAACGGAAAGGCCCCUUCGGGGGUACUCGAGUGGCGAACAGGUGAGUAACACGUGAGUAACCUGCCCUUGACUUCGGGAUAACUUCAGGAAACUGGGGCUAAUACCGGAUAGGAAUCCUUGCUGCAUGGUGGGGGUUGGAAAGCUUCGGCGGUUUUGGAUGGACUCGCGGCUUAUCAGCUUGUUGGUGGGGUAGUGGCUUACCAAGGCUUUGACGGGUAGCCGGCCUGAGAGGGCGACCGGCCACAUUGGGACUGAGAUACGGCCCAGACGCCUACGGGAGGCAGCAGUGGGGAAUAUUGCACAAUGGGCGGAAGCCUGAUGCAGCAACGCCGCGUGCGGGAUGACGGCCUUCGGGUUGUAAACCGCUUUCAGCAGGGGCGAAGCUUGUGGUGACGGUACCUGCAGAAGAAGCACCGGCUAACUACGUG